UCCCUAAACCAUUGUGAACGUUACCUAAACCGUUGCUUCGGCGGGCGGCCCCGGGGUUUACCCCCGGGCGCCCCUGGGCCCCACCGCGGGCGCCCGCCGGAGGUCACCAAACUCUUGAUAAUUUAUGGCCUCUCUGAGUCUUCUGUACUGAAUAAGUCAAAACUUUCAACAACGGAUCUCUUGGUUCUGGCAUCGAUGAAGAACGCAGCGAAAUGCGAUAAGUAAUGUGAAUUGCAGAAUUCAGUGAAUCAUCGAAUCUUUGAACGCACAUUGCGCCCGCCAGUAUUCUGGCGGGCAUGCCUGUUCGAGCGUCAUUUCAACCAUCAAGCCCCGGGCUUGUGUUGGGGACCUGCGGCUGCCGCAGGCCCUGAAAAGCAGUGGCGGGCUCGCUGUCACACCGAGCGUAGUAGCAUAUAUCUCGCUCUGGGCGUGCUGCGGGUUCCGGCCGUUAAACCACCUUUUAACCCAAGGUUGACCUCGGAUCAGGUAGGAAGACCCGCUGAACUUAAGCAUAUCAAU
rnacentral:rRNA from 1 species